AAGUUUUUCAUGUUAUUUAUCAAAGAAAAAAACAUAAAAAUCAACAGCGUGGGUCUUACUGAUUUAAAACAUCAAUAGAAAUGUCUCAGGAACCUAAAUGGAGUUUGGAGCGACGUGAGUCGUCGGGUCACUUGGUUUGGCGGAAGGAGUCUCCCAGUUCUAAAGUACGUUUUCGUUUUGAUGUUGAAGUAAUGGAAUUUGAGAAACAUCCCCAUGAAGAUAUUGAAUACAAAAAAGGCGGAUAUUCUGCUAGUAAUAUUACUUCAACUAUAGCACUCUGUGCUACAUGUGUUGCGGCGGUGGCUAUUAGCGUUUUUUUACCAUGGUAUCUUAUGGAUAAGGCGCUAUCAAGGGGUUCAUAGUUUUAUACUUUUAUGACCGAGGGAACGAAAAUGUAUACACGUUGGCCAUUUUAUGCGAAGUUAUACUUAUCGAAUCCAUUUACGUGAAGAGAAACCCGCUCUGUGUUAUCGUGCGAUAGAAAAUAGGUUGAUACACAUCAUCGGAACAGCAUAAAUAACAAUUUCAAUUAAAAAUUUCGAACAUAUAAUAAAACUUACCAGAUAGAAUAAAUUUAAUGACUCGCAAAUUUAUAUAUAUGAAUUUACGCUUAAAUAUUUAUAUGUCAAACAUUAUAAUUAGCAUUGUACAAAGAUAAGCGCCUUAAAAUUAAUUAAGAAAUAUUUAAAAAACAUUAUUAGAAUUUAUAUUCAUUUUAAAACUAGUGAGAUUAAUCUGUGAUCUUAAAAGCAUCGCCCAAUAUCAAUAUUCACCGAUGCUGUAGACUUAUUAAAUAUUGGUAUUUUAAGUGCUAUAUGAUUUUCAAUAAAUAAAAUCUUUUAUUUACUGUACACAACUUAA